AAUAUUGCACAAUGGAGGAAACUCUGAUGCAGCGACGCCUCGUGAAUGACGAAGGCCUUCGGGUCGUAAAAUUCUGUCCUUGGGGGCGAUAAUGACGGUACCCAUGUAGGAAGCCCCGGCUAACUACGUGCCAGCAGCCGCGGUAAUACGUAGGGGGCGAGCGUUGUCCGGAAUUAUUGGGCGUAAAGGGUUCGCAGGCGGUCAUUUAAGUCAGAUGUGAAAGGUCACGGCUCAACCGUGGUAAGCAUUUGAAACUGUGUGGCUUGUGUUAAGGAGAGGAAAGUGGAAUUCCUGGUGUAGCGGUGAAAUGCGUAGAUAUCAGGAGGAAUACCAGUGGCGAAGGCGACUUUCUGGACUUAAACUGACGCUGAGGUACGAAAGCGUGGGGAGCAAACA
rnacentral:rRNA from 1 species